UUUCCGUAGGUGAACCUGCGGAAGGAUCAUUAUUGUAUAACCGAGGUGCGAGGGCUGUCGCUGACCCGAAAGGUCGUGCACGCCCGUGUGCCCUCACACACAUCCAUCUCACCCCUAUGUGCACCACCGCGUGGGUCCCCCUUUGGCUUGUUCGGAGGGGGGCUUACGUUUUCACACAAACUUUGUAUGCAGUGUAGAAUGUAUUUUUUGUUUUUGCGAUCACGCAUCAAUACAACUUUCAACAACGGAUCUCUUGGCUCUC
rnacentral:misc_RNA from 1 species